rnacentral:rRNA from 1 species
UACAGAGGGUGCAAGCGUUAAUCGGAAUUACUGGGCGUAAAGCGCACGUAGGCGGCUUUGCAAGUUAGAGGUGAAAGCCCGGGGGCUCAACCCUGGAAUGCCGGUGGAAACUGUCAAGCUUGAGUCCGGAAGAGGCGAGUGGAAUUCCUGGUGUAGCGGUGAAAUGCGUAGAUAUCGUGAGGAACACCAGAGGCGAAGGCGGCUACCUGGACAAUUGCUGACGCUCAGGCACGAAAGCGUGGGGGAGCAAAAAGGGAUUAGGUACUUAC